rnacentral:rRNA from 1 species
AACGAACGCUGGCGGCAUGCCUAACACAUGCAAGUCGAACGAGACCUUCGGGUCUAGUGGCGCACGGGUGCGUAACGCGUGGGAACCUGCCCUUAGGUUCGGACUAACUCCCCGAAAGGGGUGCUAAUACCGGAUAAUGUCUUCGGACCAAAGAUUUAUCGCCUUUGGUUGGGCCCGCGUUGGAUUAGCUAGUUGGUAGGGUAAAAGCCUACCAAGGCGACGAUCCAUAGCUGGUCUGAGAGGAUGAUCAGCCACACUGGGACUGAGACACGGCCCAGACUCCUACGGGAGGCAGCAGUGGGGAAUAUUGGACAAUGGGCGAAAGACUGAUCCAGCAAUGCCGCGUGAGUGAUGAAGGCCUUAGGGUUGUAAAGCUCUUUUACCCGGGAUGAUAAUGACAGUACCGGGAGAAUAAGCUCCGGCUAACUCCGU